rnacentral:rRNA from 1 species
AUUGAACGCUGGCGGCAGGCCUAACACAUGCAAGUCGAACGAGUGGCGGACGGGUGAGUAAUGUCUGGGAAACUGCCCGAUGGAGGGGGAUAACUACUGGAAACGGUAGCUAAUACCGCAUACCAUCGGAUGUGCCCAUAUGGGAUUAGCUAGUAGGUGGGGUAAAGGCUCACCUCGGCGACGGUCCCUAGCUGGUCUGAGAGGAUGACCAGCAACACUGGACCUGAGACACGGUCCAGACUCCUACGGGAUGCAGCAGGUGGGAAUAUUGCACAAUGGGCGCAAGCCUGAUGCAGCCAUGCCGCGUGUAUGAAGAAGGCCUUCGGGUUGUAAAGUACUUUCAGCGAGGAGGCGUUACUCGCAGAAGAAGCACCGGCUAACUCCGUGCCAGCCGCCGCGGUAAUAC